CGAGGCUUGGAAUCAUGAUGCUGUGGGCCUCGCCAGCGUCAAGCGGGUGAUCACGGGGAUCUCCACACACCCGCCGGUAUAGCCGUUGUCUGCUUAAAGUAGGCCGCCGAGAGAUGCCCGCAUUGCUCUCGGUGCUCCGAAUUUCAUAUAGCAGCAGCGCCAUGCGCCGUGGAGGGGUAAGCCGAGUUGGACGGCUUAGAAAGCGUGGAACGCCG
rnacentral:ncRNA from 12 species